GCACUUGUAGCUCAGACUAAGAGCGCCGGUCUUGUAAACCGGAGGACGGGGACUAAUCUCCCCCUUAUGCC
rnacentral:tRNA from 1 species